rnacentral:piRNA from 1 species
UGAAUCAGGACCCCCAGAUUUCAGCUGGUA